AUCUCUCAUCCGGCCGCAACCAUCAUCUUACAAAACCCUCGCCGAGGAUCGCAGAUCUGACGAACGGUGAAUCGUCUGUGAAGAUGCUCAAGUACUGACUAAGAGAACAUCCUCAUAGACGAUGAGGAAACUGAAAGGAUCGUCCAUCCUCGGCGGAACGCCUGAUUCGAAACGGAGCAGAGAGACGAGGGAAGACAGAGGAUGGUGUAGCAAUCACAAAAUGUAUGAAAACAGAAAUUUGCGAGACAAGCAUAUUCAAAGAAGUCCUAAUUUAAGCGCGUACCGAUAUAAAGAGGGAAAGGGAAGAUAGAGAGGGAGAGACGUAGAGUACUGAUGUUCAAAGUACAAGCAGUAUUCGAAUCACACGCUCGGCGAGGAUGAGUAACCGUAUUUCCGCGGCGAUGGAAAAUUUUCAUUCGAAUUUCCCACAUCGAACAGCCUCCAGUUAUUGAAGAUUAAUACUGAUGUAUGGUCCGCCUAAUUAUGCCAAUUAAAGAGAUAAUAUUUUCGAAAAGCAUCCAGAUGAAUUGUAUUAAUAAUCACGAGAAGAAAUUUGGCACAGUAACAAGGAUAAUUUCAACAGAUAUGUAUCGAACCAGUUAUUUCCUUUGGCGAACCAACACAUAACAUUCCUGAGAUUGGAUCUAAAUUCGUUCGAAAAAAACUUUCAAAUAUCAUAGUGAGCGCUAACCGAAUGGAUCCGAGAAAAAUCACGUGCCACUUCAUUCAUUUUUAAGGAUCACCCGUAAAG